rnacentral:rRNA from 1 species
GAUGAACGCUGGCUACAGGCUUAACACAUGCAAGUCGAGGGGAAACGGCAUUGGGUGCUUGCACCGAAUGGACGUCGACCGGCGCACGGGUGAGUAACGCGUAUCCAACCUUCCCGUUACUGCGGGGUAACCUGCCGAAAGGCAGACUAAUACCGCAUGUUCUUCGAUGACGGCAUCAGAUUCGAAGCAAAGAUCCGUCGGUAACGGAGGGGGAUGCGUCUGAUUAGCUUGUUGGCGGGGCGACGGCCCACCAAGGCGACGAUCAGUAGGGGUUCUGAGAGGAAGGUCCCCCACAUUGGAACUGAGACACGGUCCAAACUCCUACGGGAGGCAGCAGUGAGGAAUAUUGGUCAAUGGGCGGAAGCCUGAACCAGCCAAGUAGCGUGCAGGAUGACGGCCCUACGGGUUGUAAACUGCUUUUAUGCGGGGAUAAAGUGAGGGACGCGUCCCUUUUUGCAGGUACCGCAUGAAUAAGGACCGGCUAAUUCCGUGCCAGCAGCCGCGGUAAUACGGAAGGUCCGGGCGUUAUCCGGAUUUAUUGGGUUUAAAGGGAGCGUAGGCCGGGGAUUAAGUGUGUUGUGAAAUGUAGGCGCCCAACGUCUGACUUGCAGCGCAUACUGGUUCCCUUGAGUACGCGCAACGCCGGCGGAAUUCGUCGUGUAGCGGUGAAAUGCUUAGAUAUGACGAAGAACCCCGAUUGCGAAGGCAGCCGGCGGGAGCGCAACUGACGCUGAAGCUCGAAGGUGCGGGUAUCGAACAGG